rnacentral:misc_RNA from 1 species
AAGUCGUAACAAGGUUUCCGUAGGUGAACCUGCGGAAGGAUCAUUACUGAGUUAGGGUCUCAUCUCGAGCCCCGAACCUCCAACCCUUUGUAUAAAACACUUUGUUGCUUUGGCAGGCCCCGUCCGAACAUCCCUUUAACCGGGAUCGACGACCGCCGGGGGCGUCAGUACCCUGGCCAGUGCUUGCCGAUAGCCUAUUCAAAAAUUCUUUAUUAAAUCAUGUCGAAAAAUUAUAACUAAAUAUAAUUAAAA